AGGACGAACGCUGGCGGCGUGCUUAACACAUGCAAGUGGAGCGACGAACCAGGGCUUGCCCUGGGGCAGAGCCGCGAACGGGUGAGUAACACGUGGGUUACCUGCCUCGAUGACCGGGACAACCCGAGGAAAACUCGGGCUAAUACCGGAUGUGCCCGCAAGGGGAAAGGAAGCUUCGGCCUCCGCAUCGGGAUGGGCCCGCGGCCCAUUAGCUUGUUGGUGAGGUAACGGCUCACCAAGGCUACGAUGGGUAGCUGGUCUGAGAGGACGAUCAGCCACACUGGGACUGAGACACGGCCCAGACUCCUACGGGAGGCAGCAGUGGGGAAUAUUGGACAAUGGGCGCAAGCCUGAUCCAGCAAUGCCGCGUGUGUGAAGAAGGCCUUCGGGUUGUAAAGCACUUUUAUCAGGAACGAAUACCACGGGUUAAUAACCUAUGGGCUGACGGUACCUGAGGAAUAAGCACCGGCUAACUUCGUGCCAGCAGCCGC
rnacentral:rRNA from 1 species